UAUCUUUUGGUGUAUGAUGCACAGAAAUUUUUGAUAUUUCAGGAGUAGUUUAAAUCUACAAAAGGUAA
rnacentral:tRNA from 1 species